rnacentral:misc_RNA from 1 species
CCCUAUUUCAACUCUAAUUAAUGCGUAUGCUGUAAAAAGUUCAGCCCUUUUUUCGUCUAGGACAAAAAAUAAAAGAAUCUGUGAACCGGUCAAUUUGGGAAAUCUGCUGGUUUUGGGUGUCAAUGCUGGUUGUGUAGAGGGUUAUGCAUAAGGAAAAGCUAAUUGGUCGCAAAUCUAAGUAAAUAUAGCCAUUUUCUGCUUCUGGGUUGAGUUGUUUAGCGAUGGAGAAAUCGAAGAUUGACCUUAUUGUUGGUGGCAAAUUUAAGCUAGGAAGGAAGAUUGGGAGUGGAUCCUUUGGAGAGCUCUAUCUGGGUGUAAAUGUGCAAAC